GAGAGGCUCCUCGGCGAGACAGUAGAAAGAGGUGGGAUGGACUCCACAGACUCUGGGCUCUGCCUGACAGAAGAUCUGACCAGCAAUGGGCUGCACAUUAACAUCGGCGCCCAGUAUCAGGCAGAGAUCCCAGAGUUUCGGGAUCCAUCCCACCUGCAAGUGGAGGAGGA